UACGUAGGGUGCGAGCGUUGCCCGGAUUUAUUGGGCGUAAAGAGCUCGUAGGCGGUCUGUCGCGUCGGUCGUGAAAACUUGGGGCUUAACCCUGAGCUUGCGGUCGAUACGGGCAUGACUGGAGUUCGGCAGGGGAGACUGGAAUUCCUGGUGUAGCGGUGAAAUGCGCAGAUAUCAGGAGGAACACCGGUGGCGAAGGCGGGUCUCUGGGCCGAUACUGACGCUGAGGAGCGAAAGCGUGGGGAGCGAACAGG
rnacentral:rRNA from 1 species